UGACCUCGGAUCAGGUAGGAAUACCCGCUGAACUUAAGCAUAUCAAUAAGCCGGAGAAAAAGG
rnacentral:rRNA from 1 species